rnacentral:ncRNA from 1 species
CAACCUCAACUCAUAUGGGACUACCCCCUGAAUUUAAGCAUAUUAAUUAGGGGAGGAAAAGAAACUAACAAGGAUUUUCUUAGUAGCGGCGAGCGAAAAGAAAUCAGUUCAGCACUAAGUCACUUUGUCUAUAUGGCAAAUGUGAGAUGCAGUGUACGGAACAUCAACAUUCUAGUAUGAGCAAGUUAACGAUUUAAGUCCCU